UACGUAGGUGACCAGCGUUGUCCGGAUUUACUGGGCGUAAAGAGCGCGCAGGCGGUCGUUCAAGUCGAGUGUGAAAGCCCCCGGCUCAACUGGGGAGGGUCACUCGAUACUGAUCGACUUGAAGGCAGGAGAGGGAAGCGGAAUUCCCGGUGUAGUGGUGAAAUGCGUAGAUAUCGGGAGGAACACCAGUGGCGAAGGCGGCUUCC
rnacentral:rRNA from 1 species